rnacentral:rRNA from 1 species
GAUGAACGCUAGCGGCAGGCCUAACACAUGCAAGUCGAGGGGUAACUAGAGUGAUAGCAAUAUUACUUUGGCUAGACCGGCGCACGGGUGCGUAACACGUAUGCAACCUACCUUAUACUGGGGAAUAACUUCGAGAAAUCGGCGCUAAUACCCCAUAACAUUGCGAAGAGGCAUCUCUUUGCAAUUAAAGCUCCGGCGGUAUAAGAUGGGCAUGCGUCCAAUUAGCUAGUUGGUGAGGUAACGGCUCACCAAGGCUACGAUUGGUAGGGGUUCUGAGAGGAUGAUCCCCCACACGGGUACUGAGACACGGACCAGACUCCUACGGGAGGCAGCAGUGAGGAAUAUUGCGCAAUGGACGAAAGUUUGACGCAGCCAUGCCGCGUGCAGGAUGACGGCCCUAUGGGUUGUAAACUGCUUUUGUACGGGAAUAAACCCUUCUACGUGUAGGAGGCUGAAGGUACCGUAAGAAUAAGCACCGGCUAACUCCGUGCCAGCCGCCGCGGUAACAC